GGGCGGGUAGCGCAGUGGUCAAGCGUGCUCCGUGAGCGUAACCAGCGUUGUUUUCUAUUCUAAAACUCAUCAUUCGAAGCGUUCAUCGAGAGACCUGGGUUCGAAUCCCAGCCCGCCCA